UGGAGCCAAUGGAGUUUAAUUAACAGCAUGAAAAGCUCAUCGAUACGAUUUAGGAUACCACAUAAUUAAAUUACCACUUGAGUUUUUGGUGUUGUAUCAAAGAAUACCCACACCAACCACCUGAGAACAAUUCUUAAAGUGCUUCUCUUCUCCAAGGACAGGAAUGAAGCUGGAUACGCUACAUAGAAUCCAACCAAAACCACGUUAUCACGAUAGACUUAACACAGCAGACGUGAUAAUCUGGCUUCUAUUAAGCCAGAGAGUUCAAAGAUUACAAAAACGUUGAAUACCACUAAUUUUUUGGAAGGUUCUUUUCCUCAUAAAAACAUUAUCAAACAAUGGGUUUAUUAUCUUUAAAACAAUUAUUCUUAAAUCUCUCAAAUUUUUAAACAUGGUUAAGCAUCAGUAGAUAAAACCCAUGUAAACAAAAAGGAUCUUUGGGGUCCUCGAUAUGAUUAAGAAUAUACAGGUGUCCUGAGACUAAAAAGGUUGAGAACUACUGGCCUAGAGGGACAAGAGUUAAAAUCGAUUAAAGGAAAACAUGUAGCCAACAAUACACACCCACACACACACAUACUUGAACACGUUGAUGCUUGGGAAUAAUUUAACACAAAGACAUAAUGAAGUCAGGUCAGCCCCUACAAAUGUAAUCCUUUUGAAAUUUACAGCUGAAAAUGCACAACUAGACUUGCUGUUAGCAAGCCAAACACCCCAAGUGACAUAUGAAUUUAGAAUUUAAAACUUAAAACAGUCUCCUCUUCAAUUUACAGUCCUAUCUUUUGACAAAUUGCUGGAUGUUAAAAAUGUGCAAAACUAAAUGCAGUGAGGUAUCCUGGAUUGGACCCUGCAACUGUGUAAAGGACUUUAGUGGAAAACCAAGUAAACAGUCAAUUAGCGCACCUUUGUAACAUCUUUGCACCUUUUCUGUAAAUAUAAAAUUAUUCAAAAAUAAAUGUUUACAAAAGUGCAAAAAACACACGUGCCCUUCAAGCAAUGUCAGGUUUUGAAAUAAGAACAACUUCCAAAAGGGCGCUUAGAUGGCUCAGCCUGCUGAAGUGUCUGAUCCACCGUCCUGACACUCAGACCCACAUCAGUAUUCUGGCUCAGCAGGGAAUCGGCUUCUCUCCCUCUCCUCGUGCUCUCAAAAGCUUCCCACCAAGGAGUGCUCCCUCCAAAUCUUAAACAUUUUCCAACUUUAAAAGGACCUUGUUGGCAGAUGCUAGGGGUCAGAGACUGCACAGUACAACUUAGAUGGGCAGAGCUGUGCAAUGCAGGACAUCCAUCAUCCCUGGUUCCCGCCUUUUAAUUACUGAUAGUGUUCGGCUCCCAUCACAGUUAUGGCAUCACUGUUAAAGCUAGGUUUUUUUCAAUCCAAGGAAGAUUAAAAGGCAUGAAGUAGAAAGAUCU
rnacentral:lncRNA from 1 species